GUCCUAGGUCUCCUUUAUCACCUGAAAUAUGAAAAAAAAUUAAACAAACAGCUUUAUUUAGCUUAAUUAAUUAAGCGGUAAAUAAAUAUUUUUGUCAAUAAGCGAACAAACUUUAUUUAUUAAUGGUAUGUCAGGAAAGCGAACAAUUAUGUUUGGGAGCAAUUACUCUCCGUGUGGAGAACUCACCUUUAUCUCCAGGUUGUCCUU